rnacentral:rRNA from 1 species
CGCGUUGAGGAACCUGCCUCAAAGAGGGGGACAACAGUUGGAAACGACUGCUAAUACCGCAUAAGCCCACGACCCGGCAUCGGGUAGAGGGAAAAGGAGCAAUCCGCUUUGAGAUGGCCUCGCGUCCGAUUAGCUAGUUGGUGAGGUAAUGGCCCACCAAGGCGACGAUCGGUAGCCGGACUGAGAGGUUGAACGGCCACAUUGGGACUGAGACACGGCCCAG